rnacentral:lncRNA from 1 species
CAGCGAUGGCGGGCGGGGAGCAGCGCGGGGAGCGGCCCGGCGGCCCGGCGCGGGUGGCGCUGCAGAAGGAGAUCGGGCUGGGCAGCGCCUGUGCCAUCAUCAUCGAAUUUUGGAAAGUGCCUGAGACUCGCUGUAGGAGCACCCAAACUGCUUCAUCUUAAGUGAUGUUAGCCAGCCACCUUAUUGAUGGUCUCAGCAGAAUAUAUAUGAGCCGAAAAGCCUCCUUACAUCACAGGUGCUUCCUCCUGUCAGGACUGUCAUAACACAUAAUGGAAAAUAUAAUCUGCAUGAUGCUAAUACAUCAAGAAAACCACCAAAUAAAUUUCCUUGGUUGCCACUACACCUGCCUGGCAUUGUUCUCAUUAACUAACAACGACGCAUCCAUCUACAGGAUCUACAGGAAGUGUACACUUGCAUAAAUACCACUUCCAAGGACAGCGCUCUGAGAUACCAAGAGCUAUAAUUGCACUGGAUGUGAUUUUUCCUCCUUGCCCUUCACAGAAAACUCUACUUACCAGCCUUCCUGCAUG